CGGUGGUGGCGGGGCGUUGCGCUGCGCUGUUUUGUCGGUGGAAUGUGUGACGGAGCUUUGUUGUUUUGUUUCGGUGAAAUGUGUGUCCGUAUGGAAGAUUUUGGACGACGAAGAGUAUUAACGGUUCCUGCUGCAGGAGUUCAACUGCCAGCUCAUGGGAUGUCACAGAGAAGACAGGGGUGCCAAAGAGAAAGCGUUUGCCUUCCGGAUGCGGAUUGAAGGAAUUGUUCCCGAGAGGUCCAGAGCGGUGAGAGCAGCAGAGAGGCUGCGAUCACCUUCACCUGGAUCGAACACGACGUCCACAGCGAGCGUUGGGUACUCCAACGUCGUUCUUGAGCUCUUCGUCGUCCUGGAAUGCUCUGUGCACUUUCUCUCUGCACAUCCCCGCGAACCUGCUUCCUCUACCCCGACAUGCGAAAAGACAAGGCCUUUGGGAAGUACUACCCCAAACCCUCUGAGACUCCAGUGUCAAUGGAUGUGGAGAACGCAGAGAGGACGGGCUACAUGAAGACGGAGCUCAUUUCUGUCUUCGAAGGAUGAGUGCAGAAUUUGAGGACCAAAACUGAGGACAGCAGAACUUCAUCCACGUCUUGAGACUGUACUUUGUGUUGGACCCAUUGUUCAUUUGAGAUAAUAUGCUGCCUUGAAACUGUGAGGUUGAACAUUUGCAGUCAGAGGAACCGCGGCCAGAUCCACUGUACAUAUGUCCAUGUGUGAAAUCAGUGAAAUCCUUUGUAAUGGGAAAUAGAACCAGUGCAGUUUUAAGUCUUGUGGAAAAAGACAAGUUUUUUAGUAUUUAUGGUAAUUAUAGUAUAUAAGACUAAAGUAAAUACUUAGUAAAAUUGGCAAAACUUGGCAAAUUUUUUUGACAGACUAAAGUAAGUAGUUAGCAAAGUUUUUGUAAAGACUAAGGUAAGUACUUGGCAAAGUUUUUGUAAAGACUAAGGUAAGUACCUAGCAAAAUGUUUUUACACAGUAAAGUAAGUAGGAAAAAAAUUGUAGUAUUUAAAGUAAGUACUUAG